GAGUUUGAUCAUGGCUCAGAACGAACGUUGGCGGCGUGGAUUAGGCAUGCAAGUCGAACGCGAAAGGCUUCUUCGGAAGCCGAGUAGAGUGGCGCACGGGUGAGUAAUGCAUGGAUAACCUGCCCCUGAGAGGGGGACAACUUCUCGAAAGGGAAGCUAAUACCCCAUAACGUCCGGUGUACCCAUGGCGCCGGAUCAAAGAUAGCCUCUGACUCAAGCCUUCGCUCAGGGAGGGGUUCAUGUCCUAUUAGCUGGUUGGUGAGGUAACGGCUCACCAAGGCGACGAUGGGUAGCCGGCCUGAGAGGGUGUCCGGCCACACUGGGACUGAGACACUGCCCAGACUCCUACGGGAGGCUGCAGUCGAGAAUCUUCCGCAAUGCGCGCAAGCGUGACGGAGCGACGCCGCGUGGGUGAUGAAGGCCUUCGGGUUGUAAAGCCCUGUUUCCCGCUAAGAAUGGCAGGCGGUGAAUAGCUGUCCUGCUUGACGUCAGCGGGGGAGGAAGCACCGGCUAAAUACGUGCCAGCAGCCGCGGUAAUACGUAUG
rnacentral:rRNA from 1 species